UGUGCUUCUGGAUUAGAUCUGGGAUCAGAAAUGGAAAGAAACACAUUUGUAACUGAAUUCCCCUCACGAAGACAGACCCUGAAAUAAGUAUCCCAGUGCAAGGAGUCUAUUGGGAUGUGAUCCCAGUAAGCACUGAGAGGGAAGUGAGCACAUGUGACAGCAAAGGAAAGGAAGACAAUAAAAUGUGUGCUAAUCAAGCCAGUUAGCCAUGGUGGACAACUGGAACUCAAUCCUUCUGGGAACUCUGGGAGACAGGGAAGAAAAUUCCAGAGUUAUGUCAAUGGAGGGACCAUAAGCUGCAGUAUGUAGUUGAUCCUGGAACAACACAGGUUUGAACUAUAAUUGAGGACCGUCUUCACUUUGUCAAACUACUCCUGGAGGUGAGGCACACCCUUUGGUGCCUUCCAAAGUAGCAGUGAUUGUUACAAUGUCUCAAGCUCUUCUUAAGCAGGAGAUGGCUGGAUGCAGGAUCUGCAAGAGGAGAAUAAGAGCAAACCCAAUCACAGCUGGGCUAGAAAGUCGGCCGGCUAGAGAUCCUUUUGCACUUCACAGGCAGGAGGGUAUACUCUGCAAGCAAAGCCAACCCACAGCUGCUGGGCUGGAGCACAAUUGAUUUCCUUUGUGGAACUAGCCACAGAGAAAUCCUUCAUGUGUGCUCCCAGACUCAGUGGCAGUUUCAAGUUGAUGCGAAAUAAGUGCUGACACAUAACACAGAAGUGUUAGUUAGAACAUUUUGGAAUUUCAAAGCAUCACCUGAUGGGAGAGAGUGUAGGAAGCAGGAACUAACCAUCUUGCCUGAGAAAAUAGGGGUUGAAGAAGGGAAGAAGAUUUUUACAAAGUCAGUUACACAUCUUUUAACACACAGUAUUAUAAUUUUCCUCUUUAAUGCCUUUAUACCCGGGCAACUGAUCUGUCUUGUUCAUCAUCAGCAGGGUGACUGCCACAUAGUAGCUGCUCAGGAAAUAUUGUGGAUGAGAAGAGCUUCCUUCAAUUUGCUAUGGGAUGCUGACUACUUCGUGAAUCAAUAAAGCCAAUUAGAUUGAAAGAAAGAAAGAAAAAGAAAGAAAGAAAGAAAGAAAGAAAG